rnacentral:lncRNA from 1 species
UGUUGAUAGAGGCUGCAGAGCUACUGGGGUCCCAGCAGUGCCUCCAGGUCUUGUGGCCAGAGACCUGGCAGAUGAUUGUGUUUGCCAGAGCUGGUGGUGUAUGUUCACUUGGCUCCACGGUCUUAGCUGCAUAUGCUUAUGUAAUGGCAGAGGAUGGUUGCAACCACAUAUGCAGGUAUCAUCUGCAACAAUGACAUCACAUUUUAAAGACAAAUAUGCAUGGAAAUGCAAAGAAACAAGUAUCAAACUCUGGUCAUUAUAAACAGACACGGAAGAAAAGAUCAAAGACAUGUGAGGAUAACUACAUCUAUUUGAUGAGCCAGAUGUGUAAUCAAUUAAAUAUGAUAGAACCAUUAGAGCAGAUAUUUAUUUAGAAAGUGCUGUGGAAUGAAAGAAAAAAGAAAGGUCUUAUUUUUGCCUUCAAAGUGUAGAGAAACUUCUCAAAGAACUUGAAGCUGAAGUGUACUGAAGUUUGAAUGAAUGUUUGACAAGCGGACAAACUUGGGAAGAAAAAUCUAGACAGAAGAAACAAAACUUUUCUAAUUUUCCUAAUUACCAAAUGGAAGAGGCCAAGAGUAUAUGUUUAAAAAUGUGGAGCAAACUGAUAUCUGCAUCAUAUGACUGGUGUUCAGACAAUGGAAGAAAAACUGAGAUUUUCUUCAGUCGUGUCUGACUCUGUGCGACCCCACAGACGGCAGCCCACCAGGCUCCCCUGUCCCUGGGAUUCUCCAGGCAAGAACACUGGAGUGGGUUGCCAUUUCCUUCUCCAAUGCAUGAAAGUGAAAAGUGAAAGUGAAGUCACUCAGUCGCAACUCCAUGGACUACAGCCUUCCAGGCUCCUCCAUCCAUGGGUACAGAUUUUGAAGAACGGAUGCUAUGCUAAACGAUUUGGAGUUUAUGAGGGCAUUUGGGAGUCUGUAUUGGCCUUCUCAUUGUAGAAGACUGGAUUCAAAUGGUAAGGUAAUGAAAUGAUCCUGAUAAUCACACAACCAACCAAAUGACAAUUCUUUUAAAAACUGUACCAAACACACAAAAAGUAGGUCAUUAUUAGAGACAAUAAGAGCAAAGUUGUUGAUCUUCUUCACUUGCUCAUUAAAACAUCUGCUUCAUGAAUUCCUAAUGACAAUGAUGUCAAAUGUAUAUAUUUGAAAGCAAAAUAGAAUAUAGAAUGGUUUGACUGCCUUUAUAAGCAUAU